GAAAUGCGAUAAGUAAUGUGAAUUGCAGAAUUCAGUGAAUCAUCGAAUCUUUGAACGCACCUUGCGCUCCUUGGUAUUCCGAGGAGCAUGCCUGUUUGAGUGUCAUGGAAUUCUCAACUCUAUUUGCUUUUGUGAAUAGAGCUUGGAUUUGGAGGUUUAUUGCUGGUACUUGUGAUCGGCUCCUCUUGAAUGCAUUAGCUCGAACCUUUGCGGAUCAGCUAUCGGUGUGAUAAUUGUCUACGCCGUUGCAGUGAAGCAUAUCAAUGGGCUCGGCUUCCAAUCGUCCUUUACUGGACAAUAACUUUGACCUUUGACCUCAAAUCAGGUAGGAUUACCCGCUGAACUUAAGC
rnacentral:misc_RNA from 1 species